rnacentral:lncRNA from 1 species
GCAGAGUUUGUGAGUGGUCAGCCUGGGGACAGUGAGACUGAGAUGCGCGUUCACGAGACUACUCCAUUUUUUUCUUUCAGCCUUUGAAUGAAUACAACGUUGCCCGGUUGGAAUAUUAUCGCUAUUUUAUGAGAAAAAUAGCAUAAAAAUUGAUUUUAAACAGCGUUUGACAUGCUUCUAAGUACGGAAUAUUUUGAAUUUUCUUGUCACGAAAUGCGCUCGUGCGUCACCCUUUCGGAUAGUGACCUGAACGCACAAACAAAACGGAGCUAUUUGAAUAUAACUAUGGAUUAUUUGGAACCAAAACAACAUUUGUUGUUGAAGUAGAAGUCCUGGGAAUCCAUUCUGAUGAAGAACAGCAAAGGACCGAAAGCAGACCAAUGACCAGACCCAAACUCCCCCCCCCACCUGAACAAGAUGCCCGGUUGAGGCGGCUACCGAGGACUGAGCAGCUAAUCGCCGGGGAGCAGCAGAAGCAGCAACAGCAACAACAACCACCAGACUAGAAACCAUGACCCACCUGGAAUUUAGCAGGGCAGUACUCCAGAGAGGUAGGGGCUUUGUGAAGUCUGACCUGAACUGCCUGGUGAAACUCGCAGGACCACCAGAAUCAUAUGAAGCCAGUUUCAAGAUCCCCCAGUUACUAGAACAGUUUUGGUUAAAAUUCAGAAACACCCUUUCCGACACAGAAUCCAAGGUAGUUACUGUACAGCUCCACAAUGAAUGCCUCCAGGACUAUCACCACCCUCAAGUCAGUGUCUAGGAGGGUCCUGGAUGAAGACAACAUCUGGACUGGGGAACAAAAAUGGCUGGUCCAGUUAAGACUGGAUCUAACCGGAGUUGGCAGAGUCCAUCACCUCCCAAGCACCAUCACGCUGCAUGGGUAACAACAGAAACUCCGUCCACUACUACAGCAUGCCCAAACUGUGCAGGAACUGCAGCCAACUGGGCCAUCUGGCCGCAUCCCGAACAGCUUUCAUCUCAAGAGUUGUAAAGACAAUCAUCCCACCUCAGACUUUACUUCCACAUGCCCCUGCAACCUGUGUGGUAAAGGGGGCCACUUCUUCAGAACCUGCCCUAGUUUCUAUGCCGGUAAGCCAAGGGCUAAUGCCACCAAAGCCCAAACCCACCAACCUCCAACCCCUUCACAAAACAACAACAACGAAGACUCAGAACCAGUCCCAGACCUUUCCACAGGCUUCAACCAACCCACCACCCAAUACGUCCCAGAAAUGGCUCCCACCCCUGUCAACACAUCAAGAUAUCCCAGAAACAGUCCCCAAUGCCACCUCUGUCCCCCUCCAACAAAUCCUUUCCUAGCCAACUUCACCCUCUCCAAACCCCUGGUCAAAGGGGAGCCGGUUUCGAGUUAGGCCAUAGAACCGGAAGAACCACUCGCCUCACAACUCCAAAAUGACCAAAUGGAAAAGACUAGAAAAACAGCAGAUCAACAAGAGACCAGACCAUAAAAACACCCCAGAACCCAAACCACACCGCCAGCAAGAAUGACCCUCAAAACCCCCUAUCCCCUCCAAGAAACCAUCUCCCCCUCCUAAACCCAUCGAUAUAUCACCCCCCCAUCCAUUACUUCAUCUGAUAUCUUCUCCCUGCCCCUUACUGCCCCAUAUCCUCCCUCCCACCACCAACUGCCCUUGACCCCUCUACCAUUACCCCUACUACCCCUGACUCUUCCCCCCUGCUCCUUAGAUCCAACCCCCCUUAGCGCUGCCUGGCCCUGAUCCCGCAGAGCAGUAAACCAGCCAGCCUCAGUCCAAACCCCCAAACACUCUGAGCCACCUUCACCCCUCAUGUCACCCUCCAUCCCUCCACCCAGUCAGUACAGGGGGCCACCAGUCAGUCAGUGGGGCAGCAUGUCAACAUCCUGUGAACAGCCAAGAAUCACCCAACAACACAAACGACUCGCUAGAGGCCCUCAUCCACCUCCCAUACCCCUGCUUCUUCACCAUCCAUUUCCCCCUUCCUCCUCCUACACUUAUCCCUCUCACAGAACCAGACCAGGAACCAUUCAUCACCACGCCAGAAGAGGAAGGAACAAAGGUAUAGACAUAUGCUCGGAGCAAGCAGGCCACAGAGGAGUACCAUCACUGACCUCUGAGUCUUGGGCUUCCAGUUGUCUCUGCUCGCUCCUUUGGUUGUUCUUCCUCCCCUCUUCAAAUCCAGUACCAGUCCCAGCACCAACCCAGUUCUUGGUUUCUAGUACCAGACCUGCCAGACGAGGCCUGGAGGAGGGACAAAAUAU